UACGUAGGAUGCAAGCGUUGUCCGGAUUUACUGGGCGUAAAGCGCGCGCAGGCGGCACAUUAAGUAAGGUGUGAAAUCCCCCGGCUCAACCGGGGAAUGGCUGGAUAUACUGGCGGUCUUGAGCAGUCUAGGGGCAGAUGGAACAGACGGUGGAGCGGUGAAAUGCGUAGAUAUCGUCUGGAACGCCAAAGGUGAAGACAGUCUGCUGGGGACUUGCUGACGCUGAGACACGAAAGCCAGGGGAGCGAACGGG
rnacentral:rRNA from 1 species